CAUAGAGUGCCUGAUAAAAAGGAUUAUUUUGAUAGAGUAAGUUAUGCACCCAAUGUCUCUAUGA
rnacentral:tRNA from 1 species